UGCGGUUUUUGUCGCAUUUGAGUGGAUUUUAUGGGAAUUGUUAGAUAGGGUAGAACAUAUUUUUUUUUUAAUGCGCAAACUGUGUGAUGUAGGAAUUCUCACACAUGCACACUCGUGUCCACAUUCAUUGAACGCUGCUGUGCUUGAUCAGAGUAACAAUAACGGCAAAUCCCAUAAACGUGGGUGCUGUUAUUUAGCCCAUUUUUGAUUUCAGUUGUUAUCUCUUAAGCUUUUUUUUCUGUUCAACAAUAGUCUUAAUAAAUACUGCUACCAAGUAAAAUUACGUAUUUUAAAGCAUACAUUUUCUUCAUUUGCAUGAGGAAAUGAAGAAGAGCCAUUUAAAUCAACGCAGAGGUACCUGAAGUGGAUCCUCCAAGUGUAAAUUUUGUAUAUCACCCACAUCUUGGAGCAAGUGAGAACAAAAAUUCAGGUGAAGGAGCCAACAAAGAACCGAAAGGAAAAUAAGAGGGAAAGACGAGAAUUAACAGGAGAAAAGACGAGAGACAACUGGAGGAUCUGACGAGAGACGGUGAAAAUAAAAAGAGAACCGCAUCAGGAAAAGAAUCAGAUAUUAAUUAGAUUAAUUAUUUUAGGCCGAAGCCAGAAUAUUAAUUUAAUUCAAAAUACGUAGUCGUUCAUCGGGAGCAAUCCGCGUCUAGGCCCAUAGUCAAUAAUUAAUUAGUCAUAAAAUUAAUUUAUUAAUAAAAAUUAAGCCAGACGGUUGUCUAACCGGAUCCAGGCCCAAUUGCCGGGUACAGGGCGUCGCCUUAUAAUUCCAGGCCAUCGCCGGAGUUAUAUGCGUCGUAGAAAUUUCUAGGCCGAUCGUGAAUGACGAGCCAGAAAUUUUCAUAUUCUAAUCCGCGUUGUUAUAAUUUAAAUAUUAAUUAAAAAUAAUUAAAUCAACCAAAUUAAUAAAUUAAUAAAAAAUUAGUUUCCGUAACUAGACAAGGACCUAAGUUAGAUUUAUUAAAUUAAUAAAAUAAAAAUUAAUAAUUAAAGUAAAGUAAUAAAUAAAAUUAUAAAUAAAAUUAGUUAAUAAAAUUAUUAUAAAAAUACACUCGGUAUAAAAGAAAAUUUAUAAAGUAAAAAGUCGAGUAAGUCGAGUGUUGAGUAAAAGAAAACAGAGAUGAGAUGUUACGAACUAAACUUAAAAUAUUAAAUCUAGUAAUUUUGGGUCAGUAUUAUAACGGAAGAAUUAAUGAUAGUUGUUGUAAAGGAGUUAUACUGAAAUUAAUUAAUUAAUAAUAAUAAUUUUUCUUCAUAAAUUAAUUAAUUAAUUUAUUAAGUGCGUGGCGGGAAUAGCCAUUUUAAAGUCAGUGUGUGAGAUAAAAGUCCAGGGGACUCGAUUGCAGUGUGUGUGUAGGAAAUGAAUUUUAAAAUGUAUAGAAUAGUUAAUAAAUAAUUCGGGAGGUGACCGAUUUUAAUUUGUAAGUCCAAAGGUAGUUGGCAAUGAUUUUAAUCGAGUGUGUGAUGCCAAGGUAGUAGCAAUUUAGUCUUAAGUCGCCAAAGGUAAUUGGCAGAAAUUUAUAUGGUCAAAAGUUAUAAGGUCUAAAGGUUAUAAGGUCAAAAAGGCUCAGUAGUGAUAAGGUAUAAAGUUAUAAGGUUUAAGAUCAAAGGUUAUAAGUUGUGAAAAUUAUAAGGUUUUAUUUACAAGGUUGUGAAUUAAUAAAAGUGAAUAUUGUAAUAAUAAAUAAAUCUAGUUUAUUUAUAAAAUUAUCCUUCCUCUUCCUUCUCUUACAAUUAAAAUUUACACCGACCCUGAGUAUUAAGAACCGGUUCUGGAAGACCGUUUAAUUCUUCCAGUGGCGCCCUUAAAAAGGUAAUUUAAGGACGACCAGAGUAACAGCCCUCGCGGUUUUGGAAAUACCGAAAUAAUACCGGAAUUGUACGGUAUAAAUAUCGCAUAAAUAUGUUAUUACUCGAGUUAUUUUGGCCAGUUUUUUUGCCGUAUUAUUGCCAAAAAUUUACGAAAUAAAUUCAGAAUAUUUACGGCAAUAAAUCAGAAAAAACACGGUAUUUUCACAGCAUUAAAACCGUAAUUAUACAGCAUAUUUAUAGUAUAUUUUCGGCAUUUCUGCAGAAAAAAAUUUAUACAUAAUCGUAUAAAAUUUUAUGUAGUUAUAUCUAAUUUUAUAUAAUUAUAUAUAACCUUAUAAAAUUAUAUGCAAUAACUGUC